rnacentral:rRNA from 2 species
CACCGCGGUCAUACGAGUGUUAGCCCGAGCAGAUGGUCAGCGGCGUAAAGAGUGGUUAGGGGCCCCCGCAACUAAAGCUGAACGCCCUCCGGGCCGUUAUACGCAUCCGAUGGUAUGAAACCUCACCACGAAAGUGGCUUUAAACCAACCCGAACCCACGAUAGCUAAGAUA